GCUGCAGACCCUAAUGUUGAUGCUGCAGACCCUAAUGUUAAUGCUGCAGACCCUAAUGUUAAUGCUGCAGACCCUAAUGUUACUGCUGCAGACCCUAAUGUUAAUGCUGCAGACCCUAAUGUUAAUGCUGAAGACCCUAAUGUUGAUGCUGCAGACCCUAAUGUUAAUGCUGCAUGUCAGGCAUUCAUUAGGAGGCCUGACUGAGAUGUUUUCCUUGACCACGGCUCUUUAUUGGACUAUAAAAGUCGAGUUUUGGUAUCUCUUUGUGGGGCAUCGACUCAGUUUCAGCCUGCAGAUUUAUGGAGUGUGUAUUUUAUCGUAACACACACACACGCCUGGCAUUUGAAUGAAAUCAAUGCCUUCUGCUGGGUUAUUUUUGGCUUGAGUUGCUUUUUUCAUAGCGGGCUCAUGUGCACAUGUUCUAAAUGUCACUGUAUGGUCUGUUCACUGCAGCAUUUGCAGGUAAGUGGUGAUGUGAAGAAAAGGGGGAUUUUCUGAUACUGAGCUGGUUUUACCUUUAGGCCACUGACCGGCCGUGUGUGUGUGUGUGUGUGUGUGUGUGUGUGUGUGUGUGUGUGUGUGUGUGUGUGUGUGUGUGUGUGUGUGUGAGUGAGUGAUUCACUCAGGUGUGUUAAUCCAUUCUUCCUGGUUGCUGUCCCUGGCCCUCCUUCAUGCCUCUCACCAUCACCAUUCUCUUCCUCCUUCAGCCCCCCGCUAACCCAACCCUGCAUCCACAACCCAGUGAUCCUUUGGACUGUCUUCAAAGGGCGUCACGGUUUUAUGAGCAAUCAGGACACACGCAUACUCAAGCUUACGAGUGCAGAGCCACACACACUCACUCACCUGGACACACACCGUCUUCUGAAUCUGCCAGUAUUUAGAAACAUGUAACCUUAAGAGGGCAGCAGAGUUUCACUCAGGGAGAAUUCUCAUGGAUGGAAUGAAUAUAUGGGAAUGUUUGGCUUAAGGCUUUCAAUCCCUCUCUUUUCUGAUUCACCAUAAACCCAAUUUCCUUCCAUACCUCCUUCUUCUGUGACUUUUUGCACAGUCCUCCCUCUACGGGUCUCCAGGCUGAGAUUGACAGAUCUGGUUAUGAAGUCUAAUUAAAACUCAUUAGGCUUUCUGAUGGCUUUUCCUGCCCCUUAAUUAGUUAGUAUUAGUUGACCUGGCGUCGUGUAUCACAUUAGGUUAUUGAAUAAAAAGGAGGUAAACAGGCUGAGGUGGAGGUGGGAUCACCCCAGGGUGAUAACCCCUCAAAGCUUAAUUCAGUUGCUAAACUGAUCCGAAUGCUCUCUCUGACUGACACACACAUCCAUGCAUGCACAGAUACAACCCAUCAAAUCAUCAACCAGACCUGAAACCCACGUAAGAUGAUCACCAACCUCCUGGAGCUCUUUAAGGUGAACUUCCUUCUAGCUCCUUCAUUUUUCACCCUCGGUAACCGAACCAUCUGGAAAAACCUGCAAACACCUUUCUCCGUCUCCUGCUGCUAAUUUGAAUAACCCCAUGACACGGAAGCCAGAUCACCAAACCUUUCACAGACGGGCAGCGGAUCAGAUGUUGAGACAUUCAUCAAAGCAGAUGUUUUCUGCCUUUUCUCACUUAACCCUAAAGACGGGACUCUCCUCAUGCAGUCUCCAACCAUACUACCUGGUGUGAAUUAAAGGGCUGCUCCAAAAUGUUUCUAAGAGAGGUAAACUAACAAAACUGUACUUUGCACCGAUAGUCAACCCAUAAAACAGCAGAAGAGCCAGUGGUCUUCCUACUUUCAUUUAGAUAAGUUCACACAUUUAACGUGAAUUUAAUUGAACUGAUCUGUUUCUUUCAGCGUGUGUCCAUGUUCGUUAACGUAAAGUCUCCAAGCUAUUCACAAAAACCCAACACCCGAGGAUCUGUCGGAACAUUUCCUGUAAAAGCCCACAGGUGUGUCAUGCCAGGAAAAGCUGUCAGGUCGCAUAAGGAAUGAUCAGAUGAUGUCACUCGCUGCUCAGAUGGUCAGAAGAUAUUUAUCUGAUCAAACAGGAAACGUGUGUCUGUGUGUGUGUUUUCCACAGAGACACUGAGUAAUGAGUCCGUGGCUUCUGCUGCCAACAAGAUUUGUCUGUGAUGGCCACCGCAUGCAUCCCAUUGACCCAUUAGGGCUAUGAACCUCCUCCACACUUUCAAGAUCACUCAUGCAUCUGAAGGCAUGCACAGCAGUUGCCGAGCUGCAUAUUGAAAGGAUACGCAGUCUCACUUCAUGAAGCUGUGAGUCUCAUUUAAAAAGAUGCAGCAGCUGUGGCGACACGCACGCCUCGCCUCGUGAGUCCACGCUCCCCUUGCACUGGGAGUGAGGCGAGAGGAAGCUUUACAAUGGUGAGACAAAUUGCGUUUUCUUAUUUUUCAUUCAGCUGAUUUGUUUCUUCCCUCUUGCAUUACCACCCGGCAACACAUGUCGACCCCAGCCAAAGCUCCACCACUCCUGGUGAUCCGGUUUCCUGUGCUGCUGUGUCCUUUGGAGCGGAAGGCCCAUGGCAGAGGCAACGAGGGGGGCUAAUUGGCCAUGCCACGCUUUUAGGAGGUUGGGUAGCAACGAUGGCAGUGGCAGGAUGAGGUCGGAAGGUUUUUCCCACUGAAAGCAUGAAUCUACCCCAUUGAUAAACCUCUUGAUCUUGGCGACAUGCUGAUGAAAAAUUAGUCCGAAAAUGAAUGCUUUUAUAUUCCCAACGUCUCUCCGGCAUUUCAGGGACUUCUAGGUCACGCGAUGUCAAAGAGCUGAGCUGACUUCAUUAAUUAGAGGGAGAAAACCAAAUUAGACAAAAGGAUGAUAUAAUGUAGAAAAGAGCUGCUUGUUGUCCCGAGACUAUCUGAAUAGGUUGAUGCGCCCAGUAAACGCUCAGAACUGCACAAUAUUUAAAAUGUGCACAAACAGCACAAACCCAACAAGGCAACUGGAAACUCAUUCUUGCAUUAUUUCGAACUCUGCAGGACUCAUUUACUAAAUGCUGCAUGUGCCGUGCAGACAGCUUCAGAAAAGACGACUCAUUUAAACGUCCACCUGUUUGCAUGCAUGCAUUCUGGAAAAUACCCACGGGAAUUAAAACAAAGCCUCCCCGACUUACAGCUUCCGUCCUGGAGCAGCGAUAAAACAUUUUAGUGAUGCUAGUUUUCAGACAUGUAUAAUUUAGGUUGGAUACUCGAUAGGGAUGCAUCGAUUCCAAUAUUUUCCAAACUGACACAAUACCGAUACUUGGGUCUGAGUACUUGCCGAUACCGAUUACCGAUAAUUCUACCACACAAAAAAAAUGCAAUGAAUUCUUCUCUGGUUUCAACAGGAAAAGACUGUGAGGUAGAUUAAAAAUAAAAUAUAUUCAUAGAAAUGAUCACAAAACUAAAAUAUUAGGUGAUCAGAAACAACAAGUUACAGUGAAGCCACUUUCAGGCAACUGCAUUGGUAUCGGUAUUGGUGCAUCCCUAAUAUUCCCAAAUGUCCAUCAACAGCAGAAAUAGCUAAUUAUUAUGAGGCUUUAAAGGCGUGGCUCACUAAAGAGCCAUUUUUAAAAUCUUAUUUUUCAUUUUAAUCAGUCACUCUGAGUUUUUCAUGCAGGCUGAGCAUGAAAAUAGUCUCCUACACCUAUCUCCUGCAUCAGCUUCUGAUAGAAAACAGGUGGUGAAACUCUAGGAUUAGAAAAGUCUGUUGGAUCUAUGUCACACUGUCUCUUAACUUUCAUGGACUCACCCAGCUGAGUCUGUUGUUGGCUUAGCGUUCAGGAAACAGCAGAGAACGUCUUGGCUAGUCGAAGCUAACCAUUAGCAUUAGCAACUACACCACACAGCAGAACUCCUUCAGGCUUGUGUUAUUUGUGGAGAUAAAACAUCAGCGUUGCAGAGCAGAUAGUCAGUGGUAGAGCCACACUGCUGUUAGCCAAUCAGAGGUGAGAUGUCCAAAUAUCAGGAGAUAAGUCUCCACAUCCUGUUGUCUGAAGCUACGUUCUCCAGCUGAGCUGUACUUCCUAGGGACAGCAGUAGCUUAGGAGGUAGAACGGGUUGUCCAGUAACCAGGUUCUAUCCUGGCUCCGACCAGAGAAUUCUGCUGCUGUGUCCUUGGGCAAGGCACUUAACCGGCCAUGCCUGCUGGUGGUGGUCGGAGGGACCGGUGGCACCAGAGCUCGGCAGCCUCGCCUCUGUCAGUGCGCCCCAGGGCAGCUGUGGCUACAUCGUAGCUCAUCACCACCAGUGUGUGUGAAUGGGUGAAUGACUGGUUGUGUUGUGAAGCGCCUUGGGGGGUUGUAGAACCCUAAGAAGGCGCUAUGCAAAUACAGGCCAUUCAUCAUUCCUGAAACUGGUGCAUCUGAGCUCCCCGCCCCAGAGUAUGACCUACAAGGCAUUAAUUCCUACUAGAGACCCCUGCAAAUGUAUCAAAUAAAUGAGUGAACCACGCCUUUAAACUGAUGAUUGAAUAAUGUGUCACUUUGGAAGGGCUUUACAACCUAAAACAUAAAACUGGGUGCUCAAGUUUAAACCUACUGUGGAUUUCUCUCUUCAGAAACGGGGUAGAGCUCAUUUAGAUCGUUUGUUUUCCUGACAGACUCCGCUUUAGACAAAAACUACACACUUCCUGCAGAGUUCAACAGAGUGGGAAGGUAAUUCCAGAUGCUUGGUGUUGCUCUCUUUGUCCAGUCAGAACCUGCUCUGCUGUGUCUUGGGGAUGAUUAUCUCACAGACAAACCCAGCUGUGCCCAAGUUAGCUCACACACUCCAGCUACUGAGGUCCACUGAUUUCAUAUUUAAGAUGUUUGUUUUUGUUAUUUUGCUUCAACACGACUGUUUUAAACACGUUUGUUUUAACCAGCCUCUGCAGGAACGUCAUUUAACUUAGAAAUAAAAAUUUUAAUCAGACGCGGUUCAGCAGAAUCCGGCAAAAACGUACUUUAGACCCGACGGGCCAGCAUGUCUCACCUUUCAUCUAGCUGAUAAGUCCUGGUGAAUCUAAAUUUAGAGGCAGUAGCUCACGCUUUGUUUUUCCGUCCUUUUUGUGUAAUGCACCAUUUCCACCAUGUGAUACGACCACCACCGUGCUUAACACUAAAGCUCACAUUCCAUUAUCUACCCUCAAUAAUUCAUUGCCAUCAAUAGUUUCUGAUGAAUGUGCUUCUGAUCACUUGAAGACUACUUGAAGUCUGUUUUGAUUGCUUGUACAUGUAAAUGAGAACAGUUGGUUGUCUUUAUGUCUGUUUCAUCUUAUUUUGAUCUUGUUUGUUUCAUCUCACCUGUUUUUCUUUGCUGUAAGGCUACCUGUGUGUCUGUUGCUGCUGCCUCUUGGCCAGAUCGUCAUCGUAAAUGAGAAUGAGUUCUCAGUCAGUUCUAAGUAAAGGUUAAAUAAAAAAAUAAAUAAAACAUCUGGUUUGGGUUGAACGCCUCACCGUGACUCUUCUAAACACGUUCUUCAUGACCAAAAACGCGUCUGUCUCGUCUGACCAUAAACCGUUUCUAAGACGUGGUGUUUGAAGGUGUCUUCUAUGUAAAAUAUCUGUUUCCACUUAAGCUUCGUUAUUUUUACAUUUUUAAAUAACACAGCAUCUUUAAAGAACAGUACAUGUAGCCAACUGUUGGUCUUGUGGAUGAUAAUCGACAGAAUAAUCCUGCAAAUUCCAGAGUUACAACAUUGUUUUCCUCAUACGUUCACAGCUGCGCUCAAAUGUUUCCCGUCCCUCCAGAAAGAGGACCGCUUGUGGAACAACAAUAUUCCAGGAGGUAAUGCUGGAAACAGCCUCUGCUCUGAACAGCACACUGUGAGGACGGGUCAUUAUAGGGAAGUGCAUCUAUGCUAUCGGGCUGGUUGGCUUUAAAUCCUUCUGCAGUCUAAAUAAAGCGACUUUUGGUCUCUAAUGUUUUAAUUCUGCUGGAAUAUCACCCAACAGGUUUAUGAGAAUAAACUGUUGAAACACUCCAACA